GACCUCGUAGCUCAGUUGGAAGAGCAUUGGGCUAGUAUUCCAAAGGUCGUAGGUUCGAAUCCCACCGUGGCCG